rnacentral:rRNA from 1 species
AGAGUUUGAUCCUGGCUCAGAACGAACGCUGGCGGCAGGCUUAACACAUGCAAGUCGAACGCACCUUCGGGUGAGUGGCAGACGGGUGAGUAACGCGUGGGGACGUGCCCUUCAGUUCGGAAUAACCCAGGGAAACUUGGGCUAAUACCGGAUACGUGCGAGAGCAGAAAGAUUUAUCGCUGAAGGAUCGGCCCGCGUCUGAUUAGCUAGUUGGUGGGGUAAUGGCCCACCAAGGCGACGAUCAGUAGCUGGUCUGAGAGGAUGAUCAGCCACAUUGGGACUGAGACACGGCCCAAACUCCUACGGGAGGCAGCAGUGGGGAAUAUUGGACAAUGGGCGCAAGCCUGAUCCAGCCAUGCCGCGUGAGUGAUGAAGGCCUUAGGGUUGUAAAGCUCUUUCGGCGGGGACGAUAAUGACGGUACCCGCAGAAGAAGCCCCGGCUAACUUCGUGCCAGCAGCCGCGGUAAUACGAAGGGGGCUAGCGUUGUUCGGAAUCACUGGGCGUAAAGGGCGCGUAGGCGGCUUGAUAAGUCGGGGGUGAAAGCCUGUGGCUCAACCACAGAAUUGCCUUCGAUACUGUCUGGCUUGAGACCGGAAGAGGUAAGUGGAACUGCGAGUGUAGAGGUGAAAUUCGUAGAUAUUCGCAAGAACACCAGUGGCGAAGGCGGCUUACUGGUCCGGUUCUGACGCUGAGGCGCGAAAGCGUGGGGAGCAAACAGGAUUAGAUACCCUAGUAGUCC